AAUUGUCUUCUUCACAAUGCAUAAUUUAUAUGAUCGACUAACCAUCAUUAACCUCAAUAGUCGGGUGCAGAUGAAGACCCUGUUUUGGUUGCAUUGCACUCAUUUAUCUCAACAAAUUUUGAAUCAUCGGGUACAUCUGUGUUGUUCCUAUAUCAACUUGUACCGGGGAUCUCCAGUGCUGCAGUUACAGUACAGACCUAUCAUUUAGUUGAAUGUUAAAGCAAUGAUAGUUUUAUCAUUUUUAUCAGACUCCUCAUUUCUAGACAGUUUACUGUGAGCAGGCAUGAAUUAUGGAGUUUAGAUUUCUGUUUAAUAACCUGUGGUAUAAGGAAAUUAAGCACAUUGUGAUGCUCUGGGCUUCUAGAGGAGUUACGUAUGUUAAAUGGUAACUGUGAUGAGAUGAGACAGUUCUCGGGCUUUUGGACAUUGAGGGGGUGUCAGAAUGCAUUUCCUGUACCUCAGCAAGGUGUCUGUAUAAAUAAUGCAUGUGUGCUGCAGCCUUUUCAAUCACUGAUAUUGCACCCAGCUGAUGGGUGCUGAAGACAAGGGUGUUUGUUCCAUGCCGUUGAGCACCUAAUGACUGGGAAAGGUCACGCUGAUUUUCAGUUUUCUGUCGAAAGCUUGUGCGUAAAUGCUGCAGUGUAUGAAAUAGUAAUGCAGCUGCGUUGCUACUGCAGGUUAGACAUUCAAGCCACGUUUACACCUUUCUGAAGCCUCUCACAUUUCCUCCUGCAGUCAGCGCUUGUAUACCGAUCCUUUGCUGUAAUUCCUGAAUUGGCAAUAAUAUGCAAAGCAGAGGCUAGCUUCACUGAUGUCUCAUUUGUUGCUUAUUUAUAGCUAAUUCUGGGAAGACUUUUUGAAAGCGCGGUGAGUGAUUGCUCGGCUCUGUACAGUGACCAAGACAGCUCAACUUCAUGAUGUUUUGUGUACCUAAAGUGUUAGCAUAGAACACCGACCAAAAGACAUAACCGGCCACCAUGGACAGAAGUGCAUGCUCCAGGAGUGACUAAAUUUCCCUUGACAGAAUGUUCAACCUGAAACAUGAAGGCUCAGCACCCUCUUAAGAGAUGUGACAUUGGUGUUUCUAUUUUUUUUUUUUUUAUUCACUACCAACAGCUUUAUGGUAUAAUCUUUACAGCUGGCUCUCAGAAUCUGCCGAUAAAAUCUAAAGGGCUAAAGACAAAAUUAGAGAAAUUAUUACUUUUCGCUGCAAAUUACAUUCAAUUUUUUUUCAAAUUGCCAAAAUGUUUUUGUUUUUUAAAUGUUUUUUUCUUGUAUUUGCAAAUUUGCAGGCAAGGCCAAACAUGUUGUAUGAUUGAAUCAAAUCCUUGUGCAAAGUGAUUAAAAGCAGCACUUGGCUGCCCACAUCCUGUAUUAAGAGGAAACAGCAGAGUAAUCCUGAUUACACCAACCAGAUUUCUGCUAAAAGCAAAAGCCAAAUGAUAAUCUUUCACAUUAUUUAAAUAAUUGGAAAUUACUCUGCAUCAGUAGGAAAGUUUAUUAAUAAAUGACAGCAUUCCAAGGGGAUUGCAGUUAUUUUUAAAUGUUGCCAGCUCCCCUGAUUGUUUUGUCCUGACAUUUUGAACAUUAACCUUGGUUGUCUCGGUUUUAAAUGAAAAUUGAAUUUUCUAUUAAAGGUGAGCUUGGAAAAACUUGCUUUUAAAUUGAAAAUUAAAUAUUUGCAAUGAGGAAAACUUACCUGAGUAAAAUUAAAAGCAGUUGGCUUGCAAGAUAUUUUUAUUUUUAAUUGUAGGCUAAAUGAUGCGAAAACAUAUCUGAAAAGCAUAACAACGUGUAUGCUACUGUAGGAAUUAUCCUACCAAGGACUGUAGGUGAAUUAUUUCUGAGUAGUUUUUCACUGAACCAGUGUGACAAUGGGCAUGCACGACCGAGUUGUGUUCUCUUUUCAGCCACCAAGAGUUUCCAGUCACUGCAUGACUCUUGUUCUCAUUCACAAAGAAACAAGUCGGUGACCGAGAGUUUGAAGUCGGAACCAGUCACUGCAUGACUCAUUCUCGUUUGUUAGGAACUGCAGGCAGUAAUGGAGCUUCAGAAGUCAGAAUCACUCGCUGCAUGACUCUGGUUCUCGUUCACGUGAGUCUGAACGAGAGCAGUGAAGGAACUGUUGAACAAAUCCGUGAAAUAAUCCUUUUAGGGUCAAAUGGUUUUUGUCCCUGAAAGGAACCGUAACAUUCACCACAUGCAACAUUAGUAGCGAUUUCAGUGACUUGAUUUGCGCAUGAUUCGAAUAUGUUUUGUGCAGUCCUUUCAAUGUCGAUCUACUUCAGAGCUCACUGGGAAGUCAUUUAAAGACUAGAUCUGAAGAGAAACGAAUCUGUUUCAAAAUGGAGAACUGCAUUUUGAAACAAAACUAUAAAGGUGAAUUCCUAGUGCACUCCUUGAUGCAUUGUGUCAAACAAAUCCUAUGAAGCAGCUCUUACUUGUGCAAACAAGGCUUUAACCAGUUUUUUCUAUUGACCUAUUAAUUUGAAAGGCCAAUUCCAUCAAUGGCAAUCAAGCAGUACUGCUCCCUCAGUGACAGGCACCUUAGCACUCAUCUGUGCAUUGCAGUGAGUUUAAUGAAUCAUUGUAUGUUUCCUCUUUUUAAAAAGCAUUCAUUCAUUUUACACAUUACAUAACAAUCAUAAAAAUUUGAUCGCUCUUUCAAAUGGCUGUCAAAAUUUUCAGGUACAGUAGCCUGUAUUUUUACAUGUAUAUUUACAUUAAGAUUAAGCAAGAAAUCUUUUACGAUGGAAAUGCUGCAAGGAGUAAUUUACAAGCUCGUUUUUUCUUUGAUGGGCUGGGAUGAUUGGCACCUCAUCAUCCUACUUCCAGUGCUGUCAAGUCGAUUUUUAGUGGUAGGUUUUUUCUGUUCAGCUUACAUUUUCUUUUAUUAGGUACUGUGUUUUUGUUGAAAUUAUGCAACAGUUGGUGGGGUAGUUUAAAUGUGAAGAAACACAGAUAGUUAUUAUUUGAAAUUAGAAAUGUUUUUUUUUAAAAUGUGGUGCAUUUUUUUUUCAUUAAACAGAUAUGUGAACGUAGGCUACAUUACUCAAUACUGUAUACUGAUUUAAAUUUAAUUAAUUAGAUUUCUGCGCUAUUGCUCCAAUGGUCUGGUGCUGUGGCUUACUACUGCAGCUAUUUCUCGGUUUCAUCUUUUUUCUAUAAAGUUCAAAAUCAUGUAUGAUUUGCUUUGUCUUUUCAUUAUUUUGCUCUUACUAUGUGAGAUUGUAUUUUUAUAGGCCACUCAGUUAAUGCUGGCCCUGUAAAGGCAACAUAAUGGUCUUCGGGUAAAUUUUUUUCAAAGAUUCAGUUGCUGGUUGCACCCACUGAAUAAUCCUAAAUUAAAUGCACAUGUGUAGCACAAAUCAUACUUCAUACAUCAACUAUUUCCAGGUGUUUGGAUAACGUGAGUCUUCCUGUGGCUGUUAUAUUGCCAAGGGCAUUGAGUGUGCAGUUGAACUGCAGUUUAAAAUGAACACAACAG